UACGUAUGUCGCAAGCGUUAUCCGGAAUUAUUGGGCAUAAAGGGCAUUUAGGCGGCCAGGCAAGUCUGGGGUGAAAACUUGCGGCUCAACCGCAAGCCUGCCCUGGAAACUGCCUGGCUAGAGUGCUGGAGAGGUGGACGGAACUGCACGAGUAGAGGUGAAAUUCGUAGAUAUGUGCAGGAAUGCCGAUGAUGAAGAUAGUUCACUGGACGGCAACUGACGCUGAAGUGCGAAAGCUGGGGGAGCGAACAGG
rnacentral:rRNA from 1 species